rnacentral:rRNA from 1 species
CGGGUGAGUAAUACAUCGGAACGUGUCUUCUAGUGGGGGAUAACUGCCCGAAAGGGCAGCUAAUACCGCAUGGGACCUGAGGGUGAAAGCGGGGGAUCGCAAGACCUCGCGCUGGAAGAGCGGCCGAUGUCCGAUUAGCUAGUUGGUGAGGUAAAGGCUCACCAAGGCGACGAUCGGUAGCUGGUCUGAGAGGACGACCAGCCACACUGGGACUGAGACACGGCCCAG